GGGCUGAUUCCUGCACACCAAAGCAACCGGCGCACAAUGGCUUGACAGAGUUCGGAAAAAUGGUAGUGAAGGAGAUGAAUCGUCUUGGCAUGUUUGUAGACAUAUCUCACGUUUCUGCAAAGACUAUGCAUGACGUCUUGAAUGUCUCCAAGGCUCCUGUCAUUUUUAGUCACUCUUCUGCGUAUGCUCUGUGUAAGCACCCAAGAAAUGUACCUGAUGACGUUUUGAAAAGAAUGGUGAG